UACGUAGGGUGCGAGCGUUGUCCGGAAUUAUUGGGCGUAAAGAGCUCGUAGGCGGUUUGUCGCGUCUGCUGUGAAAACCCGAGGCUCAACCUCGGGCCUGCAGUGGGUACGGGCAGACUAGAGUGCGGUAGGGGAGAUUGGAAUUCCUGGUGUAGCGGUGGAAUGCGCAGAUAUCAGGAGGAACACCGAUGGCGAAGGCAGAUCUCUGGGCCGUAACUGACGCUGAGGAGCGAAAAGCAUGGGGAGCGAACAGG
rnacentral:rRNA from 1 species